rnacentral:rRNA from 1 species
UUUAUGGAGAGUUUGAUCCUGGCUCAGAGUGAACGCUGGCGGCGUGCCUAAUACAUGCAAGUCGAACGAUGAAGCUUCUAGCUUGCUAGAAUGCUGAUUAGUGGCGCACGGGUGAGUAACGCAUAGGUUAUGUGCCUCUUAGUUUGGGAUAGCCAUUGGAAACGAUGAUUAAUACCAGAUACUCCCUACGGGGGAAAGAUUUAUCGCUAAGAGAUCAGCCUAUGUCCUAUCAGCUUGUUGGUAAGGUAAUGGCUUACCAAGGCUAUGACGGGUAUCCGGCCUGAGAGGGUGAACGGACACACUGGAACUGAGACACGGUCCAGACUCCUACGGGAGGCAGCAGUAGGGAAUAUUGCUCAAUGGGGGAAACCCUGAAGCAGCAACGCCGCGUGGAGGAUGAAGGUUUUAGGAUUGUAAACUCCUUUUGUUAGAGAAGAUAAUGACGGUAUCUAACGAAUAAGCACCGGCUAACUCCGUGCCAGCAGCCGCGGUAAUACGGAGGGUGCAAGCGUUACUCGGAAUCACUGGGCGUAAAGAGCGCGUAGGCGGGAUAGUCAGUCAGGUGUGAAAUCCUAUGGCUUAACCAUAGAACUGCAUUUGAAACUACUAUUCUAGAGUGUGGGAGAGGUAGGUGGAAUUCUUGGUGUAGGGGUAAAAUCCGUAGAGAUCAAGAGGAAUACUCAUUGCGAAGGCGACCUGCUGGAACAUUACUGACGCUGAUUGCGCGAAAGCGUGGGGAGCAAACAGGAUUAGAUACCCUGGUAGUCCACGCCCUAAACGAUGGAUGCUAGUUGUUGGAGGGCUUAGUCUCUCCAGUAAUGCAGCUAACGCAUUAAGCAUCCCGCCUGGGGAGUACGGUCGCAAGAUUAAAACUCAAAGGAAUAGACGGGGACCCGCACAAGCGGUGGAGCAUGUGGUUUAAUUCGAAGAUACACGAAGAACCUUACCUAGGCUUGACAUUGAGAGAAUCCGCUAGAAAUAGUGGAGUGUCUAGCUUGCUAGACCUUGAAAACAGGUGCUGCACGGCUGUCGUCAGCUCGUGUCGUGAGAUGUUGGGUUAAGUCCCGCAACGAGCGCAACCCCCUUUCUUAGUUGCUAACAGGUCAUGCUGAGAACUCUAAGGAUACUGCCUCCGUAAGGAGGAGGAAGGUGGGGACGACGUCAAGUCAUCAUGGCCCUUACGCCUAGGGCUACACACGUGCUACAAUGGGGUGCACAAAGAGAAGCAAUACUGCGAAGUGGAGCCAAUCUUCAAAACGCCUCUCAGUUCGGAUUGUAGGCUGCAACUCGCCUGCAUGAAGCUGGAAUCGCUAGUAAUCGCAAAUCAGCCAUGUUGCGGUGAAUACGUUCCCGGGUCUUGUACUCACCGCCCGUCACACCAUGGGAGUUGUGUUUGCCUUAAGUCAGGAUGCUAAAUUGGCUACUGCCCACGGCACACACAGCGACUGGGGUGAAGUCGUAACAAGGUAACCGUAGGUGAACCUGCGGUUGGAUCACCUCCUUUCUAGA